UAAUACGUAGGGUGCGAGCGUUAAUCGGAAUUACUGGGCGUAAAGCGUGCGCAGGCGGUUGUGCAAGUCUGAUGUGAAAGCCCCGGGCUUAACCUGGGAACGGCGUUGGAGACUGCACGACUAGAGUACGUCAGAGGGGGGUAGAAUUCCACGUGUAGCAGUGAAAUGCGUAGAGAUGUGGAGGAAUACCGAUGGCGAAGGCAGCCCCCUGGGAUGAUACUGACGCUCAUGCACGAAAGCGUGGGGAGCAAACAGGAUUAGAUACCCUGGUAGUCCACGCCCUAAACGAUGUCAAUUAGCUGUUGGGGGUUUGAAUCCUUGGUAGCGUAGCUAACGCGUGAAAUUGACCGCCUGGGGAGUACGGCCGCAAGGUUAAAACUCAAAGGAAUUGACGGGGACCCGCACAAGCGGUGGAUGAUGUGGAUUAAUUCGAUGCAACGCGAAAAACCUUACCUGCUCUUGACAUGUACCGAACCUCUGAGAGAUUAGAGGGUGCCCGAAAGGGAGCGGUAACAC
rnacentral:rRNA from 1 species